GACGAACGCUGGCGGCGUGCUUAACACAUGCAAGUCGAACGGAAAGGCUCCAGCUUGCUGGCGUACUCGAGUGGCGAACGGGUGAGUAACACGUGGGUAAUCUGCCCUGCACUCUGGGAUAAGCCUGGGAAACUGGGUCUAAUACUGGAUAUGACCUUUCUCCUUAUGGGGUUUGGUGGAAAGUUUUUCGGUGUAGGAUGAGCCCGCGGCCUAUCAGCUUGUUGGUGGGGUGAUGGCCUACCAAGGCGACGACGGGUAGCCGGCCUGAGAGGGUGAUCGGCCACAUUGGGACUGAGAUACGGCCCAGACUCCUACGGGAGGCAGCAGUGGGGAAUAUUGCACAAUGGGCGGAAGCCUGAUGCAGCGACGCCGCGUGAGGGAUGACGGCCUUCGGGUUGUAAACCUCUUUCAGCAGGAACGAAGCGUAAGUGACGGUACCCGCAGAAGAAGCACCGGCUAACUAUGUG
rnacentral:rRNA from 1 species